UACGAGAGGCCCAAACGUUAUUCGGAUUUACUGGGCUUAAAGAGUUCGUAGGCGGCCUGAAAAGCAGGGUGUGAAAGCCCUCGGCUCAACCGAGGAAUUGCGCUCUGAACUGUCGUGCUAGAGGAAUCUAGAGGUGAGCGGAACUGAUGGUGGAGCGGUGAAAUGCGUUGAUAUCAUCAGGAACACCGGAGGCGAAGGCGGCUCACUGGGGAUUUUCUGACGCUGAGGAACGAAAGCCAGGGGAGCGAACGGG
rnacentral:rRNA from 1 species